UACAGAGGUGGCAAGCGUUGUUCGGAAUUACUGGGCGUAAAGGGCGCGUAGGCGGCCUACUAAGUCAGACGUGAAAUCCCCCGGCUUAACCUGGGAACUGCGUCUGAUACUGGAAGGCUUGAGGAUGGGAGAGGGAUGUAGAAUUCCAGGUGUAGCGGUGAAAUGCGUAGAUAUCGGAAGGAACAUCAGUGGCGAAAGCGACUUCCUGGACCAAUACUGACGCUGAGGCACGAAAGCGUGGGGAUCAAACAGG
rnacentral:rRNA from 1 species